CAGCGCCACGGUAAUACGAAGGGUGCAAGCGUUAAUCGGAAUUACUGGGCGUAAAGCGUGCGCAGGCGGUUGUGUAAGACAGGUGUGAAAUCCCCGGGCUUAACCUGGGAACUGCGCUUGUGACUGCACAGCUAGAGUAUGGCAGAGGGGGGUGGAAUUCCACGUGUAGCAGUGAAAUGCGUAGAGAUGUGGAGGAACACCGAUGGCGAAGGCAGCCCCCUGGGCCAAUACUGACGCUCAUGCACGAAAGCGUGGGGAGCAAACAGGAUUAGAUACCCGCGUAGUCCCUGUCUCUUAUACA
rnacentral:rRNA from 1 species